rnacentral:tRNA from 1 species
GCCUUCAUAGCUCAGCUGGAUAGAGCACCACUUUCCUAAAGUGGGGGUCGCAGGUUCGAGUCCUGCUGAGGGCACUA